UACAGAGGGGGCAAGCGUUGUCCGGAGUUACUGGGCGUAAAGGGCCCGCAGGUGGCACGGCAAGUGCCGGGUGAAAGCCCCGUGCUUAACACGGGGAGGCCCCGGCAGACGGUCGCGCUCGAGGGUGGCAGAGGGGGGUGGAAUUGCUGGUGUAGUGGUGAAAUGCGUAGAGAUCAGCAGGAACACCAAGGGCGAAAGCAGCCCCCUGGGCCGCACCUGACACUGAGGGGCGAAAGCGUGGGGAGCGAACCGG
rnacentral:rRNA from 1 species